rnacentral:rRNA from 1 species
AUAAUGGAGAGUUUGAUCCUGGCUCAGGACGAACGCUGGCGGCGUGCCUAAUACAUGCAAGUCGAGCGGAAAAUUUGGAGCUUGCUCCAAGUUUUCAGCGGCGGACGGGUGAGUAACACGUGGGCAACCUGCCCUGCAGUUCGGGAUAACUCCGGGAAACCGGGGCUAAUACCGGAUAGGUUCGGCUCCCGCCUGGGAGCCGACGGAAAGACGGCUCACGC